UAGGGGUUUGAUCAUGGCUCAGGGAUGAACGCUAGCGGCAGGCUUAACACAUGCAAAGUCGAGGGGUAACAGGAGUGCUUGCACUCGCUGACGACCGGCGCACGGGGUGCGUAACGCGUAUAGAACCUACCUUUUACUGAGGGAUAGCCUUUAGAAAUGAAGAUUAAUACCUCAUGGUAUUGCAAUUUGGCAUCAGAUUGUAAUUAAAGAUUUAUUGGUAAAAGAUGGCUAUGCGUCUUAUUAGCUAGAUGGUAAGGUAACGGCUUACCAUGGCAACGAUAAGUAGGGGCCCUGAGAGAGGAUCCCCCACACUGGUACUGAGACACGGACCAGACUCCUACGGGAGGCAGCAGUGAGGAAUAUUGGGCGAUGGAGGCAACGCUGACCCAGCCAUGCCGCGUGCGGGAAGACUGCCCUAUGGGUUGUAAACUGCUUUUAUACGGGAAGAAACACACCUACGUGUAGGUGCUUGACGGUACUGUAGAAUAAGCACCGGCUAACUCCGUGCCAGCCGCCGCGGUAAUACA
rnacentral:rRNA from 1 species